CCAGCUACAGAGGCAAUCGAAGAUUCCAACACCAGGUACUGUUCAAACGCUUCCUUAGACAAAGGUAGAUGAAACAGGUCGUGCAAAUGUGAACUUUCCUUGGCCUUACCAACUGUGAUAUUUGGAUUUUUUUUGCAAAAGAAUAGAGUUCUGGGAAAGCAAGCUUCGGGACUUGAUCAUUCCAAAGAUCAGCCCAGAUAAAACAUGUGCCACCAUCUUGCACUGAGGCAGCAGCCAACCCUUUAAAGGGGUCCAAAAGCUUUACAACAUCUCGCCAAUAGAAGAAUCCUUUCUUUACCUGACCCGACAAUUUUUCAUUGGAGUAAUGGUUCUCCCAAAUUAACUUUACCCAUGGGAUGUCCCGCCGAUUGAAGAAUUUAUCCAAAUUUUUAAGCAACAAGGCCUCAUUCUGAGUUUUCAGAUUUAAAACUCCAAGGUCUCCUUCAGAUUUGGGUUUAAUCACGAGGGACCAGGCUUUUGGAGGUUUUCUAGCAUUAAGAUCACCC
rnacentral:lncRNA from 1 species